rnacentral:rRNA from 1 species
CAAUAAGCGGAGGAAAAGAAACUAACAAGGAUUCCCCUAGUAACUGCGAGUGAAGCGGGAUGAGCUCAAAUUUAAAAUCUGGCGUCUUCGGCGUCCGAGUUGUAAUUUAGAGAAGUGUUUUCCGCGUCGGACCGUGUACAAGUCUCCUGGAACGGAGCGUCAUAGAGGGUGAGAAUCCCGUCUUUGACACGGACCCCCGAUGCUAUGUGAUACGCUCUCGAAGAGUCGAGUUGUUUGGGAAUGCAGCUCAAAAUGGGUGGUGAACUCCAUCUAAAGCUAAAUAUUGGCGAGAGACCGAUAGCGAACAAGUACCGUGAGGGAAAGAUGAAAAGCACUUUGGAAAGAGAGUGAAACAGUACGUGAAAUUGUUGAAAGGGAAACGCUUGAAGUCAGUCGCGUCCGCCGGGAUUCAGCCGCAAGGUGUACUUUCCGGUGGACGGGCCAGCAUCACUUUCGAUCAUCGGAAAAGGGCGUGAGGAAUGUGGCACCUCCGGGUGUGUUAUAGCCUCUCGUCGUAUACGGUGACCGGGAGUGAGGACCGCCUUUGUAGGAUGCUGGCGUAAUGGCUUUAAACGACCCGUCUUGAAACACGGACCAAGGAGUCUAACAUGCCCGCGAGUGUUCGGGUGGAAAACCCGUGCGCGUAAUGAAAGUGAAAGUUGGGAAGGCUGUCGCGGCCUGCACCGACGCCCGGACUUGAGAUUUAUCGAAGGUUCUGCGGUAGAGCGUGUAUGUUGGGACCCGAAAGAUGGUGAACUAUGCCUGAAUAGGGUGAAGCCAGAGGAAACUCUGGUGGAGGCUCGUAGCGAUUCUGACGUGCAAAUCGAUCGUCGAAUUUGGGUAUAGGG